rnacentral:rRNA from 2 species
UUUGGUGAUGAUGGCAGAGAGGUCACACCCGUUCCCAUACCGAACACGGAAGUUAAGCUCUCUAGCGCCGAUGGUAGUUGGGGCCUUGUCCCUGUGAGAGUAGGACGUCGCCAAGC